CAUACGCCUCCGCAUGGCGUUACGUCACCCAACUCCCCCAGGGCAGGAAUGCAGCAAGGGUAAGUGGCCUCUGACGGGUGUGCGGAGGUUUUUCUUU
rfam:Bifidobacterium thermophilum RBL67, complete genome.